UCGACUGAAGGGGGCGCGCUGAACGUUUGUAUAACGGAAGUAGGAACACGUUGCACGGUCCUUGUUUCCGGUUGCGAAUCCAGCUCAUGAGACACAACUGUUAGCCGUUUUGGCUUCCAGCGGGCGUUCAAGCAAAGAAACUGGGCAUGGUGGCUACAUCUGAUUGAUUGAAAUGAAAACCACCCUACUGCAGGGUCACGGACGCUCAGAUGAAGUUCAACGGAGAAGGAGACCUGUUUUCCGUCGCGUUGGUCAAUCUGUCCGUACUACAGACCUCUCGUAAUGUGAAUCCACUGACUUACUACUGAAAUAGACUUCAGAAUAUUUGAAGUACGUCUUAGGAGAAAUGAGUGGUACACUUUAGUGUUACCUUUUAAUGUUGACAGAUUUCAGUCCAAUAAAGCUAAGUGACUUGACUGUCUGUGACUUUAAGGCUUUGAACAGAGAUGACUGCUUGAAUAAAAGAUUGCUGAGUUCAAA